GGUAUCUACAGUACCCCCCUUUACAUUAGAUAUCUACAGUACCCUUUACAUUAGGUAUCUACAGUACCCCCCUUUACAUUAGAUAUCUACAGUACCCUUUACAUUAGGUAUCUACAGUACCCCCCUUUACAUUAGAUAUCUACAGUACCCUUUACAUUAGGUAUCUACAGUACCCCCCUUUACAUUAGAUAUCUACAGUACCCUUUACAUUAGGUAUCUACAGUACCCCCCUUUACAUUAGAUAUCUACAGUACCCUUUACAUUAGGUAUCUACAGUACCCUUUACAUUAGGUAUCUACAGUACCCUUUACAUUAGGUAUCUACAGUACCCUUUACAUUAGAUAUCUACAGUACCCUUUACAU